rnacentral:rRNA from 1 species
GACGAACGCUGGCGGCGUGCCUAAUACAUGCAAGUAGAACGCAGUUGCGCACGGCUGAGUAAAGCGUAGGUAACGCCCUCAUCCCCGGGGAUAACGAUUGGAAACGAUAGCUCAUCCCGCCUACUUUGGGAUGGACCUGCGUUGUCUUAGCUAGUUGGUGAGGUAAAGGCUCACCAAGGCGCCGAGACAUAGCCGACCUGCGAGGGUGCUGGGCCAUAAUGGGACUGAGGCAACGCCCAGACCCCGACGGGGGGCAGCAGUAGGGAAUUUUAGGAAAGGGAGGGAAGUCUGAACAAGCCACGCCGCGUGAGAGAAGAAGGUUUUCUGAUCGUAAAGCUCGGUGGUUAGAGAAGCGGUAACUAACCAAAAAGGGACGGCUAACUACGUGCCAGCCGCCGCGGUAAUUC